UAUUUAGCUAAAUUUCUCCUGGCGCUGGGUGGCCCAGCUGCUGAGAGGCCUAUUACUACGUUAGAGUAUUUCAGGUAGCGUGGUUCAUAACCACCUGAACCUCUAGAGCCAGGGAAUCCAGUGUGUUCUGGUCUCGGCCACACCGUCCACGUGCACGCACCCACAUGGUCACAGCCUCCAGUCAGUGGCUGAAAGCAUGGGUUUUUGGGGGGGGGACAGUGGGAGGCUUGACCGCGGUGAUGAGAUCACUAAUAGGAAGUGCCGUCAGAGGCGAUAACUGACGAUAAGUGUUCCUGGCUGAUGCGGUCAAGCCCUCACCAGUUAGUUACUGGUGUUCAGGAUUAACUCGGUCUGGACUAUAACAACUGCUGUGUUCCAUCUAGGUCGGAAAUGUAGGGUGGAGGUCUGCCAGCAGCCGCGGCCUUGCAUGAGGAGUGUCCACUUCCUCAAGUUUUGAGAACUGAGUGCUGGAAUGCAGCCUGUGUUGGCAGCCGCAGUGAAGGAGGAGGUAAGUUUGAUCUGUACAGUGAUUGCCUCGAGCUAGCUGUCAUUACUCUGAAAGGAUAUCAGAUGAUGAGAUCACCUAAAAUAGCUGGAAUUACCGGCAGAUUGGUAGUGGUGAGCCUAUGGUUUUCUGAAGAUACCUUUCAAUGUUCUGAAUGCCAUUGGUUGGAACAAGUGUGAUUCUGAAAUCUAGUUCCUCUGCAGGCUGUCUCCAGAGGAGUCUCCAGCAGCAGUACCGCCACCAACUGAAAGCAGCCUCUUGAGCAUUGUUAUGAAAACAGUCCAGCAUGUGUGUCUGCUGACCCUCUUCUGUCUGGUCAGGCACAUUUGGUGAUCAUCCUACCCCACGGGAGCUUCCACACAUGUUAAUAAAAUGUUUGUGCACAAA